GGUUGGGCUUUUUUAAGCUUUCAAGUUUUAUUAGAACUUUCAGGGGGGAAGGUU
rnacentral:ncRNA from 2 species